rnacentral:rRNA from 1 species
CACGUAGGCGGCUAGGUCCGUCCGAUGUGAAAGCCCCCGGCUCAACCGGGGAAUUGCAUCGGAUACAGCCUGGCUUGAGGACGGUUGGGGUGAGUGGAACUCCUGGUGGAGCGGUGAAAUGCGUAGAUAUCAGGAGGAACACCGGUGGCGAAAGCGGCUCACUGGACCGUUUCUGACGCUGAGGUGCGAAAGCUAGGGGAGCAAACG